rnacentral:sRNA from 1 species
UGUCGAGGAUUCAGCGCCGUUCCGGCGAGCGGAUUUCUUUUGCCUAACGAUAGGUGAAAGAAAAUG